GACGAACCGUGCGAACGUUAUUCGGAAUCACUGGGCUUAAAGCGUGUGUAGGCGGACUUCUAAGUACCUUGUGAAAUCCCACGGCUCACCCGUGGAACUGCUCGGUAUACUGGUCGUCUUGAGCCUUCUAGGGGCAAGUGGAACAAAUGGUGGAGCGGUGAAAAUGCGUAGAUAUCAUUGGAACGCCAAUGGUGAAAACACUCGCUGGGGAAGUGCUGACGCUGAGACACGAAAGCCAGGGAGGCGAACGGG
rnacentral:rRNA from 1 species